rnacentral:rRNA from 1 species
AGUGAACGCUGGCGGUAGGCCUAACACAUGCAAGUCGAACGGCAGCACAGUAAGAGCUUGCUCUUACGGGUGGCGAGUGGCGGAUGGGUGAGGAAUACAUCGGAAUCUACUUUUUCGUGGGGGAUAACGUAGGGAAACUUACGCUAAUACCGCAUACGACCUACGGGUGAAAGCAGGGGAUCUUCGGACCUUGCGCGAUUGAAUGAGCCGAUGUCGGAUUAGCUAGUUGGCGGGGUAAAGGCCCACCAAGGCGACGAUCCGUAGCUGGUCUGAGAGGAUGAUCAGCAACACUGGAACUGAGACACGGUCCAGACUCCUACGGGAGGCAGCAGUGGGGAAUAUUGGACAAUGGGCGCAAGCCUGAUCCAGCCAUACCGCGUGGGUGAAGAAGGCCUUCGGGUUGUAAAGCCCUUUUGUUGGGAAAGAAAAGCAGCAGGUUAAUACCCCGCUGUUCUGACGGUACCCAAAGAAUAAGCACCGGCUAACUUCGUG